rnacentral:rRNA from 1 species
AGUGGAUGGGGAGCAACCUAGUUGUGCGUGUGUAAAGGUAGUGCCAAGAAAAGCGGUGAUCAUGAUGAAAAUCAAUUCCCGGUACCCGAAACCGACACAGGUGGGCAAGUAGAGAAUACUAAGGGGCGCGAGGUAACUCUCUCCAAGGAACUCGGCAAAAUGACCCCGUAACUUAGGGAGAAGGGGUGCCACCGAGAGGUGGUCGCAGUGAAGAGGCCCAGGCGACUGUUUAGCAAAAACAUAGGUCUCUGCAAACUCGAAAGAGGAGGUAUAGGGGCUGACGCCUGCCCAGUGCCGGAAGGUUAAAGAAGUUGGUCAGUCUUAGGAUGAAGCUAGCGACUGAAGCCCCGGUGAACGGCGGCCGUAACUAUAACGGUCCUAAGGUAGCGAAAUUCCUUGUCGGGUAAGUUCCGACCCGCACGAAAGGCGUAACGAUCUGGGCGCUGUCUCGGAGAGAGGCUCGGCGAAAUAGGAUUGUCUGUGAAGAUACGGACUACCUGCAUUUGGACAGAAAGACCCUAUGAAGCUUUACUAUAGCUUGGAAUUGUGUUCGGGCUUCCUGUGCGCAGGAUAGGUGGGAGGCGUAGAAGGUAUUCUUGUGGGGAUACUGGAGCCAACGGUGAGAUACCACUCUCAGGAGGCUAGAAUUCUAACUUAAUUAAGGACAGUUUCAGGUGGGUAGUUUGACUGGGGCGGUCGCCUCCAAAAGGUAACGGAGGCGUACAAAGGUUCCCUCAGACUGGUUGGAAAUCAGUCGAAGAGUGCAAAGGCAGAAGGGAGCUUGACUGCGAGAAGUACAGUUCGAGCAGGGUGGAAACACGGUCUUAGUGAUCCGACGGUGCUGUGUGGAAGGGCCGUCGCUCAACGGAUAAAAGUUACUCUAGGAUAACAGGCUGAUCUCCCCCAAGAGUUCACAUCGACGGGGAGGUUUGGCACCUCGACGUCGGCUCAUCGCAACCUGGGGCGGAAGUACGUCCCAAGGGUUGGGCUGUUCGCCCAUUAAAGCGGUACGUGAGCUGGGUUCAGAACGUCGUGAGACAGUUCGGUCCAUAUCCGAUGUAGGCGUGAGAAUAUUGAGAGGAGCCUUCCUUAGUACGAGAGGACCGGGAAGGACGCACCGCUGGUGUACCUGUUAUGAUGCCAAUUGUAAACGCAGGGUAGCCAAGUGCGGAGAGGAUAACCGCUGAAAGCAUCUAAGUGGGAAGCCCACCUCAAGAUGAGUAUUCUGGUGUAAGGUCACGGGAAGACGACCCGUAAAUAGGCACGAGGUGGAAGUGCAGAGAUGUAUGAAGCCGAAGUGUACUAAUAGACCGUCGGCUUGAU